rnacentral:rRNA from 1 species
CCCUUAGAUGUCCGGGGCCGCACGCGCGCUACACUGAAGGAAUCAGCGUGGCUUUCUCCCUGACCCGAAAGGGUUGGGAAACCCGUUGAAUCCCCUUCGUGAUAGGGAUUGGGGCUUGAAAUUGUUCCCCAUGACGAGGAAUUCCCAGUAAGCGCGAGUCAUAAGCUCGCGUUGAUUACGUCCCUGCCCUUUGUACACACCGCCCGUCGCUACUACCGAUUGAACGGUUUAGUGAGGGCCUCGGAUUGGUCUCGGCCCGCUCUUUACCGGGCGGCGCCGUUGGUCGAGAAGACGCUCGAACUUGAUCGUUUAGAGGAAGUAAAAGUCGUAACA